rnacentral:lncRNA from 1 species
AAUGUUUUAUGAAAGCAAGUUGUUAGAAUUGAGUUUGGCUAGUGUGAGACACAUUUUAUAUAGAUGGAGAAGAGGGUUUCUUUUUUGAUGUAACUUUGAUGGUACUACUCCUGAUCUGGAGGAGCUUUGAAUUGUAUUUUAAAUUCACCUGAGUAAAGAAUAUUAAAUAACAGGCUAAUCAUAGCCCACCACCUAUAACUUGUAGUGGCCUGAGGGCUAUAGCAGAUUUGUGAAUUUACAGCAAGAUCUUGAAUUUGCUGGGCUAAGGAAUGCAUAGGCUUGUCAGAUUGGAGUUGCUGAUGGCUAAUGGUGAACCCUUGGGUGAAUGCAAGAAUGGUAAAUGUUAGGUUGGGUUUGGAAAAACAAGCUUGUUUGUCUGCUGUGCCUCCUAGAUUUUUUUUUUUCCCACUGAAUCUAGUGAGCAUAAUAGAAUCACAGUUUGCAGAAGCAGAUGAGGCUGCAGCAAAACAGCUGUGCCUUUCUAUCAGAAGUUGACUCAAAACUUGUUUUCCAUCCCCAACAUACAUUCUUCCUAAAAGGAUGAGCCUUUUGCAUGCAGUAUCUCCUCUAUUUCCCUCUUCCAUUAUAUGUGAUUCCAGCAAUAGGAAAUAUUCCAAUGUAAC